CGACCUACGGGAGGCAGCAGUGAGGAAUAUUGGUCAAUGGGCGCGAGCCUGAACCAGCCAAGUCGCGUGAGGGAUGACGGCCCUACGGGUUGUAAACCUCUUUUGUCGGGGAGCAAAUUCCGCCACGUGUGGCGGAGUCGAGAGUACCCGAAGAAAAAGCAUCGGCUAACUCCGUGCCAGCAGCCGCGGUAAUACGGAGGAUGCGAGCGUUAUCCGGAUUUAUUGGGUUUAAAGGGUGCGUAGGCGGACUGGCAAGUCAGCGGUCAAAUACGGUGGCUAAGACUCCGCCCUCCGU
rnacentral:rRNA from 1 species